ensembl:lncRNA
UAAUAGUGUAAAGAGGGAUUCCCUCGGGUAAAGAGUGAAGCAGAUCUGAUCUAGGGGCUUCAUAAAAGGCAAGGAAGCCCUUUGACAACCUUGCAUUUCUCCUUUGGCAACCCAUGCUGCGAAUAUGACUCGGAGCACUUUGCGUGGACCUAAGGUAUGAAGAGGUUUGUAAGGGAGCAAGCUUGUCUGGGAUGGAGUGUGUACUCCAGCCUCCAUAAUACAGAAAAUACAAUACAGCUGGAUUAUAGCGCAGAGGGACAGACAGGUAGGAUGGAGGGAGCUCCUGAAGGGGAGGGAACAGCCCCUCUUUAGGUAAUUAGUAGAGCCAUGGAAAAUCUUCAGGGUUUCUUAUUAGAGUACAAGGUGAGGGUGGCAGGCAUGGAAAAUAGCUUUGGCCUUGGUGUUAGUAGACUGGCAGGAAGAAGGUUAUUGCUGUCUAGAAAAGGAGUGCCAGGGGUCUAGACAAGGGAAUUUACAGUUUACUGGGAGAAAGUAAGACAAAGAGGUAAAGAAAUUGCUCUAUGCUGAAAACAGACUAAUAUGUGCUAAGAAAUAGACAGAACUCACUUGCCUCUUAGAUUCUUGUUUGCACACAUCAAGCCAAGAAUAAAAGUCCUAUAGAAAUAUACAUUGCAUCUUUCACAGAACACAUAACAUUUUGUGACCAGAGAUUUUGGCAUCGUUUACUCAACAGAUGUUUGUUAAAUUCUUUAUUUAUUACUGUGCAGUUUGUACCUCCUAGGAAAGGUAGUGUAACAAUAUAAUAGGUUUUGGGUUUUGGUGUCUGGUGAAUUGCUUUUUAAAAACCUCUUCUGCCAUCUACUAGUUUUGUGCUUUUGUUUUUUGGUUUUGCUUUUUUUUUUUUUUUUGGUCUUUUUAGGGGUGCAUUCAUAGCCUAUGGAAGUUCCCAAGCUAGGGAUGAAAUUGAAGCUAUAGCUGUAGCCCUACACGCCAGCCACAGUAUCGCAGGACCCAAGCUGCUGCAUCUGCGACAUACCCCAUGGCUCUCGGCAAUGCUGGAUCCUUAACCCACUGAGUGAGGCCAGGGAUCUAACCUGCAUCCUCAUGGAUUCUAGUCAGAUUCGUUUCCACUGAGCCAUGACAGGAACUUCUAGUUUUGUGCUUUUGGCCAAAUAUCUGAACUUCAUGUGUUAAAUGCAGAACACAAUUCUGACCUCUUAAGAUUGCAGUGGAUAUUACAUUAAAUAGUAUGGCAGAGUGGCUGGCACAAUAAUCACUCAAGAAAUGAUUGUUGAUAUUAUUACUGAUUCCUUAACUAUGAUGACCUAUUCAAAUCAAGAUGGAGUCAUACUGACUGGUAGUUGUAUAUCAAUNNNNNNNNNNNNNNNNNNNNNNNNCCUACAACCUUAAGUUACUUGAACAAACUGAGCAUGUUAAGGUUCAACACUUUAAAAAUUUUCAGCCUAGUUGGGAACGGGCUUGUGGCUUUUCCAUGGUCUAGUUUAAUCCCUUCACUGGCAUCAAAAGGUGGUAUAUCCUUUGUCUGUCAAUCUGGUUUACAGACUGCACCAGGGGGACAUAGACUCCCUCUGCUAAGGUUUAGACGUCUAGCUGUAGCUGAAAUUUCUGGUCUCCAGCAUGGAUUCGUUCCUGUUCAUGCCAAGAGCUUGAUGCUUUCUUUGUGUAUUUAAAUGUCAGUGUAGCUUGACCUCUGGACCUCCCCUCAUUUUGCCACCAGUUAAACCUGCUGAUGCAGAACUCGUUGUUGUUUAUUGUUGUUGCCUGAGCAGGUGAGUGAUGCACACUCAAAUGGCAUAUUUGUUCCCUUAGUUUAGUGGAAUGAGUUGGCUAGGAGGAUGGUGCUCCAGUAAACAGUGUGCCAGCAGGAAGAAAUGUCAGAAUUAAGUGAAAGGGGCUCUUUUUUAACUUUUAUGCACACUAUUUAAAAAAAAAAUGAUUACAGCAAAUGGUGUUUCUCCUUUUGCUAUCAGAUAUCUCUGGGUAGUUUGUCAGUUUAAUAUUUGACUUAAAGAAAUAAUAUUUUAAAAGUUGGAACUCAGAAUUCAAUGUAAGAAAAUGUUUUCUUGGUCAUUUUUUUUAAUCAGAGAAGUAUAUGGUGGCUGGUGUUUGCGGAUCUAUUCAUUUUGGAAAAUUUCUGUUUGCUUUUUGCUAAUUCUCAUUCAGAGCUAAGUGUCCUGUUUUCAUUUUCUUCUCAGUUACCUUGUAAUUACAACUUCUUUCUGAUAGUUACAGCAAUGCAAAUGUAGUUAAUGGCCCUGAAUGAUGCACUUGAAAAUGGUUAAGAUGGUAAAUGCUAUGUAAAAAAAUUUUUUAAAUGGAAAAAUACUCCCCGUAUUCCCAUGAGACAUUACACACACACACACACACACACACACACACACACACACACACACACACACACACCCCGCACGUUAUCACACCUAUGGAAGUUAUGGAAGUGUUAGCUCAGUGUAGUGGUAAAGUGUGUAGUCUCUAUCACCAGGCUGCCUGGGUUCAAAUCCUGUCUCUAAGCAUCUGACAGCUGUGUGACCCUGGACAACUUAACCUCUUUGGGCUUCAGUUUCUUCAUCUGUAAAACAAGGAUCAUAAUACUAUUUAACUCCUAAGGUAAAUCAUGAGGAUUACAUGAAUUAAUAUAGCAUUGAGAAUAAUCUUGAAACCUGCUCUGUGCUCAAGAAAUGAUAGCUGUUCUUAACUAUUUGGGGAUGCCUAAAAUGUGAUACUUUCUUGAGCAUAUAAAAGAUGAGUGAUUUGGGCAAGUGCAAAUUCUUUUACAGUCUGAAAUAAGGAAUUUCUAGUAGAAGGUGCUAGUAUCCUAAAUGUGAAAAUACAAAAGUUCUUUGAAUAGAACGGGUUAGUUCUUUUAGGUCAGAGAUACGAACCCACGGAUUACAUUCUGUUAAGUUAGCAGUGUCUUUUGCUUGUAAUUACUUUCAAUAUUGCUCUUCACUUAAAAUGUCUUUCUACAUUGGAUAUUUUGCUUUCUCAUCCUCAGAUAUUAGAUUUUUUUUUUUUUUUUGCUAGCUUUUUGCUCUGUUAUUCUGGAUUUGUAUUUAUUGUAGAAUGAUUUAGUGAGCUUCUGAAACAUGGCUGGGCAUAUCUAAUUUUGCAAACUAGACUAGGCUAGACAUGGAAGGAUCAUAUUUGCAUAAUGGCCACAGUACAGCUAAACUUAAAACAUUUUCCUUUGUAUAACAAUGACUUUCAAAUCAUUAUGCUGCUCAGAAUAUAGCAGUAAACUAACCCAGGCACAUGUUCUCUUUAAUAUAACACACUGUGACCCUUUUCUCCCCCAACAUACCUAAUGAGGAUCCUGUUUUUCCAGCUUUUUCGUGUAGCAAUCCAGAGAGGGCAUCUCAAAUGAUUAUGUGUGUGUAUGUUUGCAUAUAUGAGAUUCUUGUUUCAAACAAAAGAGGCUGUUUUCCUGAUUUGGUUUUACUUCUAUUGCAAUUAUUUUCUCAAUCUGUAUUUUUUGGGGAGAUCGAGGGGGAGUCCUGCGCCCACAAUAUGUGGAAGUUGCCAGGCCAAAAAUCAAAACUGUGCCACAGCAGUGGCCCGAGCCACAGCAGUGACAACACUAGAUCCUUAACCCGCUGAGUCACAGGAGAACUCCACUUAAUGUUUUCUUCCUGAUGCAAUUUAAAUGAUUUUUAAAAGCCUAGGAAAUAUGCAUGUAUGGCCAGCAACAACUGGGAUUUGUAUCAGGUAUACUAUGGUUUUGGAAAAAAUGUCAUGUUUUUUCAAAAUUUUCUUUUUAACCAGAUAUAUCAAGAAUACAGAUAUUGUCCUGGCUGGCACAGUGUCAUGUUUUUCAGCAGUAUGAGGAAUAAUCUAAAGUUAUAGAUCUUUGUUGCAUUCUUUUUUCCCUUGAAUAAUUGGUAUCGUAUUGACCCAGACCACUGCUCUGCCAUUUGCUAGUUGUAUGACCUGGGAAAACAAAUCUCAGUUUUCUUACCCAUAAAGUGGGGGUAAUAAUACCUCUCUCUUAGGGUGGUUAUAAGAAUUAAAUGUGAAAUCAUAGAAUAUGGCCUUCUUUUCUGACUGGCUUCCCAUCAUAGUGGCUAGAUGGUUAGCAGCUGCUCCAGACUUAUAUCUGACUUGUUAAAUAACUUUAAAAAAAGAGAGCUACAAAAGGCGAAGGACUGGUAUAUAUUUGGUGAUCUCAGAUAAAAGCUACAGUCCAUGAAACAGUCUCUAUGCCCAGAAGGAAGGUACAUAUGAAAUGGCCAGCGUUUCUUGCCAACAAUUUUUGUUUUUUUGUUUUCUUUCAAGCUACACUGAAGUAUAAUCUACAUGUGAUAAAAUUCAUACAUUCUGUUGUACUAUUUGAUGAGUUUUGAUAAAUGUAUACUAUCGUGGAAUCACCUACCACCAGAUCAAGAUAUAAAAUAUUCCCAUUCCCUCAACAAGUUCCUCUGUGAGUCUUAUAGUCAAGUCCCUAGACUGGCCCCAGCUCCUGGCCAUCCAUGAUACAUUUUUUUGUCAGUAUAGUUCUGUCAUUUUUUAGAAUUUUGUGUGAAUUGAAUCAAUCUUUUAUGCCCUCUUUCUUUUAUUUAGCAUGCUAAAUGCUUUUCAGAUUAAUCCAUGCUGCUGCCUAUGUAAGGGUUCCUUUCUUUCCAAAUUUGCCUGGUAAUCCAUUCUAUGGAUAUGGCACAGUUCACUUCUUCUCCAUCACUAUUUGGUGAAUUUGGGGUGUUUCCAGUGUUUGACUAUUACGAUUAAAGCUGGUAUGGGUAUCCACUACAAGUUUUGGUAUAGAUGUAUGGUUAUCUAGGGGGGAGGCAGGGAGAUAUUUAUGAGUGGGAUUUCUGGGUUAUGUAACAUGUAUUUAAGUUCAUAUGAAACUGCUAGACUGUUUUUGAUAAUUUUAUAAAAAGGAACCAACACAGAUGCUUCAAAUGAAUUGUUGGAGUGUUGAUUCUCAACCAUGAUAAAACACAGGCUACACCCCAGACUAAUUAAAUGUGAAUCUGGGAUAGGACUCGGGCAUCAGUAUUUUUAAAGAUUCCUCAUAUGAACCCAAUGUAUGAAAUGACUCAAUUGGAACAAUGCUUCUUAAACUUUAGCAUGCAUGGGUAUCACCUGGAGAGCUUGUUAAAGCAUGGCUUCUUGGGCUCUACUUGCAGAUAGGUCUAGGUGGGCUGAUUUUUGUGUUUCUAACAAGCUCCCAGGUGAAGCUGAUGUUAUUGGUCCAUGGGCUACACUCAGUAACACUGCAUCACAGUGACUGUACAGCCUCGUGAAACAUUCAGACAGGUCUUCACCUCUGAUAACAGUGUCCAACUUUCAGUCAUUUGAAGCUUGGAUUCAGCCCAUUAAUGAAUUGUCCCUUAGAGAAGAAAAUAAUUACGUAAUUACUACUAUUUUAGGUAGUCGAGAAGAACCUAUUACCACUUACUGUAUCCUGGGUGAUCCUAACUGUAAAUUCUGUGACCCAGAUUAACGCCAUGGGCACAUGAUCUUGCCCAACAAGUUUAUUAGCCUCCCUUUUCGCCUUUACUGAAAUUUUUAAUAUCACAUAUAUUUGACAUAAAUGAGGCCUGGUUCCUAUGACUAAAGUUCCUUCCUUUUCCCAGAUCUAGUCUUUCUGGACUUCACCAUACCAUUUGUCAAAUCUCAAAAGUAGACACAGAGGGGAACUAGGAGUGGGGAGACUCAGUUCUAGUCUGACUUUGCCAUGAAUUUUCUAAGUCUUAAAAAGGGUUUUAAACAUACUGGGCCUCAUUUUCUUCAUCUAUAAAAUAAGGCAUUGGAUGAAAUUAUUAUUUCUAAAUUCCUUUCCAGUUCUAAAUUUUUUUUUUCCUCUAGCAUUUCACAAAAUGCCAGACUAGAGCGAAAGGGAUUUUUAUUGUGUAAGUAUGUGUUGGUUCAAUAUUUCAGUACAUUUAAAAAAAAAAGUAGUUAAAAUGUCUAGCUUUCUGUAGCUUUAGCUUUUAAGCUUUUAGGGCAGAGCACAUGCAAUUAAAAUUGGUAUUGUUCCAUGGUGGCUUUGCUUGAUCCAGCUGCGGCUAGGAAACCUCUCCACAGAAUCUACUUGAAACUAUAAAAAUCAUCCAUUUUAAUCUUCUUGGCAAAACAAAAGUUCUCUGUUAUGCCGGCAAACAUUGUAUUCUUCUGUAUAAUACUCAUUGUGCCAAAUAAAGUAACUUGAUAACAUUAUUGUCAGAUAAGUAAUUUAUAAUAAGGGUACAAGUUGAAAUUUCUAAUCUGUUAACUCCAUGCAGAGCUGUUGGGUAAUUGACAGUAACCUGUUGCAAGGGAGAGUUUAAAAGGUGAGAUUUAGUUUAUCACUGAUUUUAAGGACUAACAACCUAGUAAUACACAGUGCUUGGAUAAAUAUUAGAAACAUUUUAGAUUUUUCAAAAAGUGGAUUAUAAAACUCACUCUUAACUACCCAGUACUUCCACAUCUGGAUAUAUUUCCUAAGAAGGUAAUUAGAAGCAUGCUAAAAUCUGGGUUCAUGAUGAUGCUGAAGGUAGGUUUUUAUACACAUACAAUAGGAAAAUAAUGGAUGCAGCCUGGUAUUUAACAGUACAGUAGUUAAGCAAAUUAUUUCAUCCAUAAGAAUGAAUAAUAUAACGACAUAAACUGAAUCAUAAUGAUUAUUAAAAAAACACUGAAAAGUAGUUCUAAUAUGUUAACUGUUGAAAUCCAAGUACAGAAUGUGUAGUACAAUAAUCAUGAAGAAAAAGUGAGUUCCCAUUGUGGUUCAGUGGUAACAAACCUGACUAGUAUCCAUUAGGACAUGGGUUUGAUCCCUGGCCUCCCUCAGUGGGUUAAGGAUCUGGCAUUGCUGUGAGCUGUGGUGUAGGUUAUGGACGUGGCUCAGAUCCUGAGUUGCUGUGGCUGUGGUGUAGGCCAGCAGCUACAGCUCCGAUUGGACCCUUUAUCUGGGAACCUCCAUAUGCCAUGGGUGCAACCCUAAAAAGCAAAAAAAAAAAAAAAA